GAUGAACGCUAGCGGCAGGCUUAACACAUGCAAGUCGAGGGGUAUAGGUUUCCGGACCUAGAGACCGGCGCACGGGUGCGUAACGCGUAUGCAAUCUACCUUUCACAGAGGGAUAGCCCAGAGAAAUUUGGAUUAAUACCUCAUAGUAUAGCAGUUUCGCAUGAAACCACUAUUAAAGUUCCAACGGUGAAAGAUGAGCAUGCGUCCCAUUAGCUAGAUGGUAAGGUAACGGCUUACCAUGGCUACGAUGGGUAGGGGUCCUGAGAGGGAGAUCCCCCACACGGGUACUGAGAAACGGACCGGACUCCUACGGGAGGCAGCAGUGAGGAAUAUUGGUCAAUGGACGCAAGUCUAAACCAGCCAUGCCGCGUGCAGGAUGACGUACCUAUGGAUUGUAAACUGCUUUUGUACGAGAAGAAACAACAUUACGUGUAAUGUCUUGACGGUAUCGUAAGAAUAAGGAUCGGCUAACUCCGUGCCAGCAGCCGCCGUAAUAC
rnacentral:rRNA from 1 species